rnacentral:tRNA from 1 species
UGGGCCCGUGGCCUAGAAGGAUAAGGCGGCGGCCUCCUAAGCCACCAGCUGCGGCGAAGAGAGCCGCAGAUCGUGGGUUCGAGUCCCACCGGGCCCGA